CUUUGGGCGUAUAAUACCCGACCAGUAGGAGCACACUGGUUGUUGCUUGCUAUCAACCCUAUAAGAGAAGUCGUGUAUUAUCUGAAUUCGGUAAAUGGUGACUGGACCAAUUAUCCGGCUAUGAAGGAAAUCGUUGAUUUAUCAAUACAAGUGUUCCGAAGUCAACGGGACGCACAGGUAUCCCGGACUAAAUCAAACAACAUUACUUGGAUCAAAGUGC